GCCAUGCUCCCACAGCCAGGUAACAUCACACCUCUAAAAGACAAUGUAUUCUGGUCUUUACCUCCCACUACAAACUUUAUCAAGAGAACAAAAACACCGUUUGAGGAUUCACAAAUUACAAAGUGUCUCUCUCCAUUAUGUGUUAACUGUUUGCUGGUCAGGGAGAUGAAAGUGUUCUUUUAAAGUGGAGCGAUAUCAAAGGAAGCAGAAAAGGAACCAACACGGAAAGUUCCUGUAAUCCUUCAUCGAUCCAGCCUCCGUGAGGGUAUUUGCAGUCGCUUUCCCUGUGCACUCACAGAGAAAGUCAAGAAGUGCUGCCAGAAACCACACAAGGCUUGCAAAUCGAUGAUCAUGGAUUUUUUUUUUUGGGCCCCGACAUGCAUCAGACAUGCUUCAGAUUUUUGUUUCCUUCAGGCAGAGAAUGCUCGCUCAGUUAUUUGUGAUCGCAUGAAUUUCAGAGUUAAAAGAACCCUGGAUGUUGAUGCUGACAGGAGUUCCAAAAUCCAAAGGUACCUGAACGCAACACAAAGGCCGGCCCAUCACACCAAAGGUGAGAUGCGUCCUAUGAACCAGUGACAUCAACACUUGAAGAAACAAGCAAACACUGCGCUGCACAAAGCAUGCUGGGAAACAUAGCGAAAAGUGCCACUUUUUAAAAGCUUUUCUCCUUCAUUAGGUCACAGUCAUGCAUUUCAAGUAAACGCUUGUAUAAGUAAGUAAAUAAACCUUGUGGAGUGCUGGUGUGGUCGAAAAGAUUCCACAUAUUUAA